rnacentral:rRNA from 1 species
UACGGGGGGAGCAAGCGUUGUUCGGAUUUACUGGGCGUAAAGGGCGCGUAGGCGGCCAGCACAAGUCAGUUGUGAAAUCUCCGAGCUUAACUCGGAAAGGUCAACUGAUACUGUGCGGCUAGAGUGCGGAAGGGGCAACUGGAAUUCUUGGUGUAGCGGUGAAAUGCGUAGAUAUCAAGAGGAACACCUGCGGCGAAGGCGGGUUGCUGGGCCGACACUGACGCUGAGGCGCGAAAGCCAGGGGAGCGAACCGG